AUCUGGAAGAAUCUGGAGACAGGUGCUGCAUGGCUGUCGUCAGCUCGUGUCGUGAGAUGUUGGGUUAAGUCCCGCACGAGCGCAACCCUUGCCUUUAGUUGCCAGCAGUUCGGCUGGGCACUCUAAGGGACUGCCGGUGUUAAACCGGAGGAAGGUGGGGAUGACGUCAAGUCCUCAUGGCCUUUAUGACCAGGGCUACACACGUACUACAAUGGCCGAUACAAAGGGCAGCGACACUGCGAGGUGAAGCCAAUCCCGUAAAAUCGGUCUCAGUCCGGAUUGGAGUCUGCAACUCGACUCCAUGAAGUUGGAAUCGCUAGUAAUCGUGAAUCAGAAUGUCACGGUGAAUACGUUCCCGGGCCUU
rnacentral:rRNA from 1 species